UGAGCGCCCUAAGGUCGGGGCGCCAACACCCCCCAGCGGAAAAUUGGCCGAAAAACGGGUGGCCUAUAGCCUUGGUGGGGGGCGUGGGCGAAGUUCGUCCGCCGGACUCGGAAUGGCCCCAGACUUUGCGGGUGGCCUCCGUGUGCCAAAAAUAGGCCACGGGCACAGCCGCGCCCAAAAAUGAGCGCCCGAAGGUCGGGGCGCCAACACCCCCCAGCGGAAAAAUGGCCAAAAAACGGGUGGGCUAUAGCCUUGGCGGAGGGCGUGGGCGAAGUUCGUCCGCCGGACUCGGAAUGGCCCCAGACUUUAUGGGCGGCCUCCGUGCGCCAAAAAUAGGCAACGGGCACAGCCGCGGCCAAAAAUGAGCGCCCUAAGGUCGGGGCGCCAACACCCCCCAGCGGAAAAUUGGCCGAAAAACGGGUGGCCUAUAGCCUUGGUGGGGGGCGUGGGCGAAGUUCGUCCGCCGGACUCGGAAUGGCCCCAGACUUUGCGGGUGGCCUCCGUGUGCCAAAAAUAGGCCACGGGCACAGCCGCGCCCAAAAAUGAGCGCCCGAAGGUCGGGGCGCCAACACCCCCCAGCGGAAAAAUGGCCAAAAAACGGGUGGGCUAUAGCCUUGGCGGAGGGCGUGGGCGAAGUUCGUCCGCCGUACUCGGAAUGGCCCCAGACUUUGCGGGCGGCAACCGUGCGCCAAAAAUAGUCCACGGGCACAGCCGCGCCCAAAAACGAGCGCCCGAAGGUCGGGGCGCCAACACCCCCCAGCGGAAAAUUGGCCGAAAAACGGGUGGCCUAUAGCCUUGGUGGGGGGCGUGGGCGAAGUUCGUCCGCCGGACUCGGAAUGGCCCCAGACUUUACGGGCGGCCUCCGUGUGCCAAAAAUAGGCCACGGGCACAGCCGCGCCCAAAAAUGAGCUCCCGAAGGUCGGGUUCCAACACCCCCCAGCGGAAAAUUGGCCAAAAAACGUGUGGGCUAUAGCCUUGGUGGGGGGCGUGGGCGAAGUUCGUCCGCCGGACUCGGAAUGGCCCCAGACUUUGCGGGCGGCCUCCGUGUGCCAAAAAUAGGCCACGGGCACAGCCGCGCCCAAAAAUGAGCGCCCG
rnacentral:lncRNA from 1 species